rnacentral:rRNA from 1 species
GACGAACGCUGGCGGCGUGCCUAAUACAUGCAAGUAGAACGCUGAAGAGAGGAGCUUGCUCUUCUUGGAUGAGUUGCGAACGGGUGAGUAACGCGUAGGUAUCCUGCCUUGUAGCGGGGGAUAACUAUUGGAAACGAUAGCUAAUACCGCAUAACAAUGGAUGACACAUGUCAUUUAUUUGAAAGGGGCAAUUGCUCCACUACAAGAUGGACCUGCGUUGUAUUAGCUAGUAGGUGAGGUAAUGGCUCACCUAGGCGACGAUACAUAGCCGACCUGAGAGGGUGAUCGGCCACACUGGGACUGAGACACGGCCCAGACUCCUACGGGAGGCAGCAGUAGGGAAUCUUCGGCAAUGGGGGCAACCCUGACCGAGCAACGCCGCGUGAGUGAAGAAGGUUUUCGGAUCGUAAAGCUCUGUUGUAAGUCAAGAACGGGUGUGAGAGUGGAAAGUUCACACUGUGACGGUAGCUUACCAGAAAGGGACGGCUAACUACGUG